GAGGAUGCCGGCGGAUCAGCUGCGAGUGUCAACAUUACAACAUUCAUUAUUUAUUUGUUGAAUUUGCCACACCAUUACUACCACUACAAUCAACUGGACACAGGUCUUAACAAUGUGGAAACGACCCGUUACAAAUCUCAGGACUCCUUCCUUUCUCUUCUCGAGUGACUGUUUGGCUUCUCGAAUUCUGCGAGUACAAUGUCGUCCGUCCGUCCGUAUGUCUAUCUGUCCAUUUGAAGGAGGGGGUUCGGAGGGGCAGACAGUGGACGAAUCACUGGCGGCGGAAGGCAGUAAGCGCCUUUCCAAGGGGACAUCACCCCCUUGCAUCCCUCUGCCUGACACUUAAAAGGUGCUAUUUUGCUCUAUGUAAGUACGAUGAGGGCGCUCGUGCUUGUCGUUGUAGGGCUCUGUGGCUCUGAGGGCGACAGGCUGCUCCUAGAAGGUUCCUCAUACCCUAAAUAUUAGUAAGUACAUACAUACAUACAUACAGGUUCCCAAUCUGAUGACCAUGCAUGAAUGGUUGUAACGCGGUGGUGGCACUCCCCCGGUUGCUUUUGUUUCAGUUCUUCUGGUUGUGUUGUAAGGGGUAGAGGUAGGGGUAGGGGUAGAGGUAGGGGUAGAAGUAGACGUCGGGUUACCUGGAGUGAUGGAGGCAGUAGGUGGAUGCCCCCAGUCUGCUACAGCAGAGACCCCGUAAUAUACCUCCAUGUGAACUACGUACGUGAUUGCGCUGAACCGGCUUCACGUUAGGGGUUCAACAAGGUGGAUGCGGACAGGGAGGGGGAGGAGGAGCCGCGUCCUGGUCCCCCAGGGUGUCCGACAAGGUUUAGCUUGAUAUUGCUGGCCCUUGCAUUCCGCACUACACAGCACACGACAUAACUCACAAUUUCAUCCUUACACACUUACACCCACACUCAGGCUGCGAAGCCUGAACAGCAAAAUACGUCUAGUGCUUACGCGUUAGUGCAGGCCUACGGGGCGAAAUGUACCUAAUGUGACUGGCAGGGGUUGGCGUGUUCGGAGGGGCUUCCUCACGCCGUCGGUGGUGGCGGUUGUAGGUAAGGUCCCGAGGAUCCCUGUCAGGCCAUCAAGCAGGCGGGUUUCGCACAGCUUUCGCUGACUGCUGCUCAAGAGGGCUCCUCACAUGUCAGGAAUUGUCUGCCGGUGUCUUGCGCCUCCUCUAUGCAUCAACCUCGCGCUGUGCCAUCUGCAAGGACAGAUGGCAGACAUAGAUUAACCUUCGCUUUGGUGUGGUGGAACCACUUCGAUGUUCACAUCCACGUUUGGCAAUAUAUUUCAUCGGCAAAACGGUCGGUCCGAUCCGAAGCAGGGGCGCGAUCACUGUGGUUUGAUUUGCAACCCGGGAACUUCCAGGUAAGCAGCCGUAACAUGGCUUUUUGCAAUCGCAAAAUAUGAAAGAUUCCG
rnacentral:lncRNA from 1 species